UACGGGGGGGGCAAGCGUUGUUCGGAAUUACUGGGCGUAAAGCGUGCGUAGGCGGUGACUCAAGUCAGAGGUGAAAGCCUGGAGCUCAACUCCAGAACUGCCUUUGAAACUAGGUCGCUAGAAUCUGGGAGAGGUGAGUGGAAUUCCGAGUGUAGAGGUGAAAUUCGUAGAUAUUCGGAAGAACACCAGUGGCGAAGGCGGCUCACUGGACCAGAAUUGACGCUGAGGCACGAAAGCGUGGGGAGCAAACAGG
rnacentral:rRNA from 1 species